rnacentral:rRNA from 1 species
GGUCGAGCUAUGAAAGGGCCCAUGGUGGAUGCCUUGGCGCCAAAGGCCUAAGAAGGGCGCGGCACGACUGCGAAAAGCCCCGGUGAGCCGUCCAGCGGGCAUAGCCGGGGAUUCCCGAAUGGGGAAACCCACUCCAGGCGUUGAGCCAGGAGUACUCCUGGGGUCCAACCCAGGUAGAGGGUACCGGGGGAACUGAAACAUCUUAGUACCCCGUGGAAGAGAAAUCAAAAGAGAUUCCCUUAGUAGCGGCGAGCGAACGGGGAAGAGCCUAAACUCCGAGGACUGAGUGGGCCGGAGCCCUAUGCCCUCGGGGGGUUGUAGGGCCUGCCAGGAGCGGCCCCGGCUGCUCCAGGGAGUCAGAAAUCCCUCCUUUAGCCAAAGGUCCUGGAAAGGACCACCAUAGAGGGUGAAAGUCCCGUAGGCGAAAGGGGAGGGACUCCCGGCAGGUACCUGAGUACCGCGGGACACGAGAAACCCCGCGGGAAGCUGGGGGGACCAUCCUCCAAGGCUAAAUACCUUUGGCGACCGAUAGUGAACCAGUACCGUGAGGGAAAGGUGAAAAGCACCCCGAGAGGGGAGUGAAAUAGAUCUGAAACCGUGGGCCUACAAACAGUCAGAGUUCCGAUUCGUCGGAAUGAUGGCGUGCCUAUUGAAGAAUGAUCCGGCGAGUUCUUGGGCGGGGCUAGGUUAAGGGAAUGGAUUCCCGGAGCCGCAGCGAAAGCGAGUCUAAAUAGGGCGCAGCGUCCAGGGGCAACCCUGGCCGCAGGUCCCGUUCAAAAGACCCGAAACCGGGCGAGCUACCCAUGGCCAGGGUGAAGCCCCGCUAACCCGGGGUGGAGGCCCGAACCUGUUUCUUGUGCAAAAGGAUGGGAUGAGCUGUGGGUAGUUGGUGAUAUGCCAAUCGAGCCCGGAUAUAGCUGGUUCUCCCCGAAAUGCAUUGAGGUGCAGCCUCAGGAAAUAGCUUGGGAAGGUAGGGCUCUGGAUGGGCUAGGGGGCGUGAGCUUACCAAACCCAACCAAACCACCAAUGUCCCAAGGUGGACCCUGGGAGUGAGACGGUGAAGGAUAAGCUCCAUCGUCGAGAGGGAAACAGCCCAGACCGCCAGCUAAGGCCCCUAAGUGCAGGCUAAGUGUAAAAGGCAGUCAUGUUCCCCAGACAGCCAGGAGGUUGGCUCAGAAGCAGCCAUCCUUCAAAGAGUGCGUAACAGCUCACUGGUCGAGGGGUGUGGCGCCGAAAAUUUAGCGGGGCUAAGCCUGCCGCCGAAGCUGCGGGUCCUUCCCUCUGGGAAGGACGGUAGGGGAGCGUCCCCUGGCUGGUGAAGGUGAGGCGUAAGCCUUGCUGGAAGCCAGGGAAGUGAGAAUGCCGGAAUGAGUAGCGCUAACCGGGGUGAGAAUCCCCGGCGCCGAAAGCCCAAGGUUUCCUACGCAACGUUGAUCGGCGUAGGGUUAGUCGGAACCUAAGGCAAAGCUGAAAAGCCUAGUCGAUGGAUGGCAGGUCAAUAUCCCUGCACCAUCUCUGUCCCGUUACGAGCCAAGGGGGGACGCGGAAGGGUAAGCGGUGCAUACCCAAUGGACAUGGUGUGUUUCCGCCUGAAGGCCAGCCAGGGCAGGCAAAUCCACUCUGGCGCUAUGAGCUGAGGGGCGGGAGAACCCUGAGGUACGCCUCGGGGAACUCCGCCGAACCCAUGCCGCCAAGAAAAACCUCGUGGCCAGGAGCAGGGGUGUCCGUACUGCAAACCGACACAGGUGGGCUGGGGUAAAAGUCCCAAGGCGAACGAGAGAACCCUCGCUAAGGAACUAGGCAAAAGGGCUCCGUAACUUCGGAAGAAGGGGCGCCUCCUGGGGUGAAGGGCUUGCGCCUGGAGCUCCGGGAGGCCGCAGCGAAGCAGCUCGGGCGACUGUUUAACAAAAACACAGGUCUCUGCCAAGGGGUAACCCGAGGUAUAGGGGCCGACGCCUGCCCAGUGCCGGAAGGUUAAGAGGAGGAGUCAGGGGGCAACCCCGAAGCCCUGAAUCGAAGCCCCGGUGAACGGCGGCCGUAACUAUAACGGUCCUAAGGUAGCGAAGUCCCUUGUCGGGCAAGUUCCGACCCGCACGAAUGGCGUAACGACUUGAGCGCUGUCUCAGCGAGGGGCUCGGCGAAAUUGCAGGGCCUGUGAAGAUGCGGGCAACCCGCAGCGGGACAAAAAGACCCCGUGAAGCUUUACUGUAGCUUGGCAUUGGACUGGGGUCAGGGAUGCGUAGUAUAGGUGGGAGGCUGGGAAGUCUGCCUCGCGGGGCGGAUGGAGCCGCCGUUGAAAUACCACUCUUCGCUGACUCUGGUCCUAACCCCGCAAGGAACGGGGGACCAUGCCAGGUGGGCAGUUUGACUGGGGCGGUCGCCUCCUAAAAGGUAACGGAGGCGUCCAAAGGUCCCCUCAGGGUGGAUGGAAAUCACCCGUCGAGUGCAUUGGCAUAAGGGGGCUUGACUGUGAGGCCGACAAGCCGAGCAGGUGGGAAACCAGGGCAAAGUGAUCCCACGGUACCGCAUGGAAGGGCCGUGGCUUAUCGGAUAAAAGCUACUCCGGGGAUAACAGGCUGAUCUUGCCCAAGAGUUCACAUCGACGGCAAGGUUUGGCACCUCGAUGUCGGGGGUACGUGAGUUGGGUUCAGAACGUCGUGAGACAGUUCGGUCUCUAUCUGCUGCGGGCGUAGGAGGCUUGAGGGGGUAUCUUCCUAGUACGAGAGGACCGGAAGGGACGUACCUCUGGUGUGCCGGUUGUCCUGCCAAGGGCAUCGCCGGGUAGCCAAGUACGGUAGGGAUAAGCCCUGAAAGCAUCUAAGGGCGAAGCUCACCCCAAGAUUAGGCCUCCCAUCCUUCCCGCAAGGGAAGGAGUAAGGUCCCAGGAAGACUACCUGGUAUAUAGGCCGCAGGUGGAAGUCCCGUAAGGGAUUAAGCUGAGCGGUACUAAUAGACCGAGGGCUUGACCUG